rnacentral:snRNA from 1 species
GUGCUCACUUUGGCACGACAUAUGCUAAAAUUGGAAUGUACAGAGAUUAGUAUGGCCCCUGCAUAAGGAUGACAUGCAAAUUCAUGAAGCAUUCCAUAUUUAU